GGGGAUUUAGCUCAGCGGUAGAGCGCUUGCCUAGCAAGCGCAAGGCCCUGGGUUCGAUCCCCAGCUCUG
rfam:Rattus norvegicus chromosome 4, whole genome shotgun sequence.